rnacentral:rRNA from 1 species
CCUACGGGAGGCUGCAGUGGGGAAUAUUGGACAAUGGGGGCAACCCUGAUCCAGCCAUGCCGCGUGUGUGAAGAAGGCCCUCGGGUUGUAAAGCACUUUCAGUGAGGAAGAACGCCUGGUGGUUAAUACCCAUCAGGAAAGACAUCACUCACAGAAGAAGCACCGGCUAACUCCGUGCCAGCAGCCGCGGUAAUACGGAGGGUGCGAGCGUUAAUCGGAAUUACUGGGCGUAAAGCGCGCGUAGGUGGCUUGAUAAGCCGGUUGUGAAAGCCCCGGGCUCAACCUGGGAACGGCAUCCGGAACUGUCAAGCUAGAGUGCAGGAGAGGAAGGUAGAAUUCCCGGUGUAGCGGUGAAAUGCGUAGAGAUCGGGAGGAAUACCAGUGGCGAAGGCGGCCUUCUGGACUGACACUGACACUGAGGUGCGAAAGCGUGGGUAGCAAACAGGAUUAAUACCCCUGUAGUC